rnacentral:miRNA from 1 species
AGUAGAGAUGGGGUUUCACCAUGUUGGUCAGGCUGAUCUCAAACUCCUGACCUCAGGUGAUCCACCCACC